AUGAACGCUGGCGGCGUGCCUCAUACAUGCAAGUCGAGCGAACAGAUGAGGAGCUUGCUCCUCUGACGUUAGCGGCGGACGGGUGAGUAACACGUGGAUAACCUACCUAUAAGACUGGGAUAACUUCGGGAAACCGGAGCUAAUACCGGAUAAUAUAUUGAACCGCAUGGUUCAAUAGUGAAAGACGGUUUUGCUGUCACUUAUAGAUGGAUCCGCGCCGCAUUAGCUAGUUGGUAAGGUAACGGCUUACCAAGGCAACGAUGCGUAGCCGACCUGAGAGGGUGAUCGGCCACACGGGAACUGAGACACGGUCCAGACUCCUACGGGAGGCAGCAGUAGGGAAUCUUCCGCAAUGGGCGAAAGCCUGACGGAGCAACGCCGCGUGAGUGAUGAAGGUCUUCGGAUCGUAAAACUCUGUUAUUAGGGAAGAACAAAUGUGUAAGUAACUAUGCACGUCUUGACGGUACCUAAUCAGAAAGCCACGGCUAACUACGUG
rnacentral:rRNA from 1 species